rnacentral:rRNA from 1 species
GAUCCUGGCUUAGGACGAACGCUGGCGGCGUGCUUAACACAUGCAAGUCGAACGGGAGUAUUGAAGAAGCUUGCUUAGAGAUACUUUAGUGGCGGACGGGUGAGUAACGCGUGAGGAGCUGUCCUAUGCAGGGGGACAACAGCUGGAAACGGCUGCUAAUACCCCAUAAGCCGAGAGGUAAAAGGAUCAAUCCGGCAGAGGAGGUACUCGCGUCCUAUCAGCUAGUAGGUGAGGUAACGGCUCACCUAGGCGAAGACGGGUAGCCGGCCUGAGAGGGCGAACGGCCACACUGGAACUGAGAUACGGUCCAGACUCCUACGGGAGGCAGCAGUGGGGAAUAUUGGGCAAUGGGGGGAAACCCUGACCCAGCGACGCCGCGUGGGUGAAGAAAUCCUUCGGGAUGUAAAGCCCUGUUGUAUGGGAAGAGCGGAAGACGGUACCAUACGAGGAAGCCCCGGCAAACUACGUGCCAGCCGCGGC